AUGGAUAAGAAGAAAGUGUUGAUCCAGGUGCAUCCCAAGGACAAGUUUGUCAUAGAUGUAGACAAAAAUACCAGCAUCAGUGAUGUGACACCCAGUUCCUGGGUGGUUCUAAGAAAUGAUAGCUACACUUUAUACAAGAUCCUACCCAACAAGGUGGACCCAUUGGUGUCAAUGAUGAUGGUGAAGAAAGUGCCAGAUUCAACUUAUGAAAUGAUUGGCGGACUGACUGGACAGGCAGAUCAAGGAGAUCAAAGAAGUGACUGAGCUGCCUGAUAAGCAUCCUCAGCUCUUCAAAGUGCACUAGGCAUUGCCCAGCCCAAGGGAGUGCUGCUUGGAAGACAUUGUUGGCCUGGGCUCUGGCUCAUCAUAAGGACCAAACCUUUAUUCAUGUCUCUGGCUCCGAAUUGGGACAAAAAUUCAUUGGGGAAUUUCUGUUAUGACAGAGAAAAUGCUCAUCUGUUGUCUUCAUGGAUGAAAUCUUCAUCGGCUCCUCUCAGCUGGAGGGGAUUGCUUCACUGGAGGGAACAAUGAAGUGCAGCAGACGAUGCUUUGAGGAUGGCUUUGAGGCCACCAAGAAUAUCAGGGUUUAUCAUGGCUACUAAAACGAUUGAUAUCCUAGAUUUGGUAAUACUUUUUCCAGGGGACAUUGACAGAGAAAUUGAAUUGCCAUUCUGCAAUGAGGAGGCCCUGCUGGACACUUUUAAGAUUCAUUCUCAGAAACGAACCUGACCAAGGGAAUCAACCUGAGAAAAAUUGCUGAGCUUAUGUCAGGAGCAUCGGGCUGAAAUGAAGGGCAUGUGUACAGAAACCAGUCUGUAUGCCCUGAGGUAAUAGCGAGUCCCUGUCACUCAGAAGGGCUUUGAGAUAGUGGUAGCCAAAGUCAUGCCAAAAGACAGCGAGGACAAACACAUCCAUCAAGAAACUGGAAUUGAGUGGACGUCCUUUGUGUGCAUCCCUACAAUAAAGCUCUGUGGAACAAGCAAAACAAAAAGUGUUUCAGGGAGGAGUGAACUGCUAGUGCAUAAUCAAUAACUUUUAAAAUUUAGCUUGUAUUUAGUAACAUUUCAUUAUGUUUUGAAAAGAAGAGUAAAAAAUACCACAAUUUUCAUGAUGUAAAAGGUAUCGAGUUUCCUAGCAUAAGAACAUGAGUUCUGGAAAAAGUCUUAGGGACAGUGAACAAGAUAAAGGCCCCCCCCCCCCACUUUGUUUGUAAAAAGAGAUAUUAAUGCCUACAUCAGGGUUGGUGUGAGGAUUAAAUUAAAAAAUACAUGUAUGUAAGCACCAGACACAUAGUAAGCACUUAAUAAUGUUAGUGGCUAGUAUAAACAAUAAACAUAUUCUCUCCAGUCAUGAGGUGUAGUCAUAGUAUUUAAGACCUUAGCUGAAUUGUUUAAAGAAACCUAGGUAUAAUAGAGAACAUUAUGGGUGCUGAUUUCCACUCUCACUAAAAUAUAGUGACUUUGCUGUAUCAGCAACUAACUAUAAAGCACCACUUGAUUCUGUAGAUUGUUACAGACCACGAAUGUAGAAAUGAGACAGUUGAUCUCUAGGAACUGAAUUAAGCAAGCAUGUAAUAGAGAACAGUAAAAGUUGUGAUAGACACAUGUACAAGGUGCUGUAGAGGUAUAAUUAGGAAAGUUAUUCAACUGAGACUAGGCAAGAGAGUGAUUACACUUAAGUAUUUAAGAAGAAAUAGAUCUUAGCACUAGGGGAUGUGGAACAUUCAAAGCAGAAAGUUUGGAAAGAGUAUUCCCAAGGCAAAAAGCUUAGCACAUACAAAGAUAGGAGAAAAGCGUGACACUCUUUAAGAGUUACUAUGUUGGCCAGGCACGGUGGCUCAUGCCUGUAAUCCCAGCACUUUGGGAGGCUGAGGGUAGAUCACCUCCUGAGGCCAGGAGUUUGAGAUCAGCCUGGCCAGUGUGGUAAAACCCCAUCUCUACUAAAAAUAUAAAAAUGAACCAGGUGCAGUAGCAUGCACCUGUAGUCCCAGAUACUUGGAAGGCUGAGGCACAAGCCCAGGAGUCAGAGGUUGCAGUGAGCUGAGAUCAUGCCACUGCACUCUGGCCUGAGCAAUAGAGUGAGACUCUGUCUCAAAAAAAAAGUUACUAUGUCUAGAGAGGUAAACAGGUGAUAAGUCAUGAAGACAUUUAUUUGUCAAACUAUAUUUGAAGGAUUUGAAAGAGAAAAAAAUCACAUUUAUACUUAAGAUUAGAAAGGUAUGAGAUUAGAGGCAGAGAGACCUGUUAGAAAAUUUAUACCAAUUCAAGCAAAAUAAUGAGGGGCAGAACUAAAGCAAUGAAAAUAGGGAAAGCAAGGACAGAAGAGCAAAAGUUAAAGAUUUAGAGAGCAGACUUGACCCAUCUGGGUAGUCAUUUGGAUAUGAAGGAUGAAAGACAAAACCAGGACAAGUUCUAGUGCAUUCUAUUGCCAGUGCUGCACAGUCUGGAGGCAGCACAGUACAUCACAUGGUGAAGGAGUUCACAAGAGGGAACCAGACUAGCUUUCAUAACAGACCCACUCAUGAUAACUAACCCCGUCCCUUGAUAUAACCCAUUAGUCCAUGCAUAGAGUAAUCCAUUUUUGGAGACAUAGAUAGCCCUCGUGACCCAGUCACCACUUAAAGGCCCCACCUCUUAAUACUGAUGUAUUUUGGAUUAAGUUUUAACAUGAGUUUCAGUGGGGACAGACAUUCAAAUCAUAGCACUGUCUGUUAGGGUGCAGGAGGUGUCUCGACCCAAAUGUUGCCAGCACUUUUUAGGGAGUCAGUAAGUGUGUGAUAAGUGGGAUAGCUGAGCUAGUUUAAUCGUGUAGUUUGGUUGGGUUGGACUUUGCCUCGUGUCCCUUCCCUGCUUAGCUCUAGCUGCCUGUUGGAAUGCAGCCAUGCUUUCCUGGGUUUGCUUAGUGAAAUGCUGAGAUGCACUCUGAAGCAUUCUUGAGGUUUUCUCUUUGGUUCAUUUGUCCCAUACUCUUUCCAUUAUAUCAGUCUUCUCAGAUCUUCAUUACACAAGUAAAUCUACUGUCGGAAACAGGGUCUUGUAGAAGUAGACAUAUGGGAAAGAUAGAGCCUGCUGUCCUGAUGGAUGCUGCUGUUAAGAUAGGUUGGGUUGGCCUAGGUAAGAGGAGGACCAGAAGAGAUUUAUGACUUCUUGGAAGGCUAUGAGUGGCUGCUGGCCCCAUCAAAAUCUGUUUUGUUUAACGAAAGUCAAAAAAUGAAUAUUGGUACACUUACAUUUCUUUCUUGGAAGAGCAGCAGAAACCUUGGGAUAUCCUUGUGGGUCAGGGAGAUAACUCUGCUCAUGGAUUCCCUAAUUUUAUGCCACAUAAUUCGUGGAGAAACCAAUUCAAGUUUUCACAGGUUUCUCUUAGAGUUAACUUAGGACUUCCUAGACCAAGAAUUCCUACAAUGCAAGGCCUGUGAAAAUAAUGUAAACUUAAUACCUGACAGAUAUAUAUCCAAAGAUGUCAGAGCCCUAUAUUUAUAAAUAUUACCACAUGGUUUAAGAUUCGACUUCCCACAUAAAGUGAGUAAAAAUAACAAUGAUUUUUCUGCAGUAUUUUAAUGAUGCUAUAAUUAUAAAGCAGGGUUUUAAAAUUCUGCCAUGUAGUGCCUUAUUUUUAUAGUAAUGUUUUCUAUGAACUUUUGCAUUUAAUGUGUAUUAUUCUAUGAGAUUUAAAAAGUAUGUAACUUAAAAAAUAUCUUUCCAACAAA